GACAGAGGGUGCAAACGUUGUUCGGAAUUACUGGGCAUAAAGCGCACGUAGGUGGUCCGCUAAGUCGCGUGUGAAAUCCCCCGGCUCAACCGGGGAAAUGCGCGUGAUACUGGCGGGCUUGAGAUCGGGAGGGGUGAAUGGAACUCCGGGUGGAGCGGUGAAAUGCGCAGAUAUCAGGAGGAACACCGGUGGCGAAGGCGGGUCUCUGGGCCGAUACUGACGCUGAUGCGCGAAAGCGUGGGGAGCAAACAGG
rnacentral:rRNA from 1 species